UUGAUUGAAGGAAGGGGAAGGAAGCUUG
rnacentral:piRNA from 1 species